rnacentral:rRNA from 1 species
AGCGAACGCUGGCGGCAGGCCUAACACAUGCAAGUCGAGCGGCCGUAGCAAUACGGCAGCGGCAGACGGGAGAGUAACACGUGGGAACGUGCCCUUUGGUUCGGAAUAACGCAGGGAAACUUGCGCUAAUACCGAAUAAGCCCUUACGGGGAAAGAUUUAUCGCCAUUGGAGCGGCCCGCGUCUGAUUAGCUAGUUGGUGGGGUAACGGCUCACCAAGGCGACGAUCAGUAGCNGGUCUGAGAGGAUGAUCAGCCUCACUGGGACUGAGACACGGCCCAGACUCCUACGGGAGGCAGCAGUGGGGAAUAUUGGACAAUGGGCGCAAGCCUGAUCCAGCCAUGCCGCGUGGAUGAUGAAGGCCUUAGGGUUGUAAACCUCUUUCAGCAGGGACGAAGCGAAAGUGACGGUACCUGCAGAAGAAGCACCGGCCAACUACGUGCCAGCAGCCGCCGUAAU